rnacentral:rRNA from 1 species
UGGUGGAGUGAUUUGUCUGGUUAAUUCCGAUAACGAACGAGACCUUAACCUGCUAAAUAGCCCGGCUGGCUUUGGCUGGUCGCUGGCUUCUUAGAGGGACUAUCUGUGUUUAGCAGAUGGAAGUUUGAGGCAAUAACA